rnacentral:rRNA from 1 species
GAUGAACGCUGGCGGCGUGCCUAAUACAUGCAAGUCGAGCGAACAGACGAGGAGCUUGCUCCUUUGACGUUAGCGGCGGACGGGUGAGUAACACGUGGGUAACCUACCUAUAAGACUGGGAUAACUUCGGGAAACCGGAGCUAGUACCGGAUAAUAUUUCGAACCGCAUGGUUCGAUAGUGAAAGAUGGCUUUGCUAUCACUUAUAGAUGGACCUGCGCCGUAUUAGCUAGUUGGUAAGGUAACGGCUUACCAAGGCAACGAUACGUAGCCGACCUGAGAGGGUGAUCGGCCACACUGGAACUGAGACACGGUCCAGACUCCUACGGGAGGCAGCAGUAGGGAAUCUUCCGCAAUGGGCGAAAGCCUGACGGAGCAACGCCGCGUGAGUGAUGAAGGUCUUCGGAUCGUAAAACUCUGUUAUUAGGGAAGAACAAACGUGUAAGUAACUGUGCACGUCUUGACGGUACCUAAUCAGAAAGCCACGGCUAACUACGUG